rnacentral:rRNA from 1 species
UACGAAGGGGGCUAGCGUUGCUCGGAAUCACUGGGCGUAAAGCGCACGUAGGCGGAUUGCUAAGUCAGGGGUGAAAUCCUGGAGCUCAACUCCAGAACUGCCUUUGAUACUGAGGAUCUUGAGUACGGGAGAGGUGAGUGGAACUGCGAGUGUAGAGGUGAAAUUCGUAGAUAUUCGCAAGAACACCAGUGGCGAAGGCGGCUCACUGGCCCGUUACUGACGCUGAGGCACGAAAGCGUGGGGAGCAAACAGGG